rnacentral:rRNA from 1 species
AUACGUAGGUGGCAAGCGUUGUCCGGAAUUAUUGGGCGUAAAGCGCGCGCAGGCGGUCCUUUAAGUCUGAUGUGAAAGCCCACGGCUCAACCGUGGAGGGUCAUUGGAAACUGGGGGACUUGAGUGCAGAAGAGGAAAGUGGAAUUCCAAGUGUAGCGGUGAAAUGCGGAGAGAUUUGGAGGAACACCAGUGGCGAAGGCGACUUUCUGGUCUGGAACUGACGCUGAGGCGCGAAAGCGUGGGGAGCAAACAGGAUUAGAUACCCUGGUAGUCCACGCCGUAAACGAUGAGUGCUAAGUGUUAGGGGGUUUCCGCCCCUUAGUGCUGCAGCUAACGCAUUAAGCACUCCGCCUGGGGAGUACGGUCGCAAGACUGAAACUCAAAGGAAUUGACGGGG